rnacentral:rRNA from 1 species
UGAGGAACAUGACCUUCGGCGGGGGAUAGCCGGCCCAACGGCCGGGUAAUACCGCGUACGACCACUUUGGGACAUCCCUCGGUGGUGAAAGCAGUAAUGCGCCGAUGGAGUGCCUCGCGGCCUAUCAGCUAGUUGGUGGGGUAACGGCUCACCAAGGCGACGACGGGUAGCCGGCCUGAGAGGGCGAUCGGCCACACUGGGACUGAGACACCGGCCCAGACCUCCGUACGGGGAGGCAG